rnacentral:ncRNA from 2 species
UACAUUUGCGGCACUGAAGGUUUCCGCCUAAAAACGGAAUGAAAAGGGAACCGGGUGUGAAUCCCGGACAUUACCCGAUGCUGUAAGCUUCUUUAUAGCCUUUUGUAUCCUCAUUGCCACUGUUCUUGCAACGGGAAGGCCGCAAAAGGUGAAGUAAGUCAGAAGACCUGCCUUUAGCCCGAUGAUAUC